UACGAAGGGGGCUAGCGUUGCUCGGAAUCACUGGGCGUAAAGCGCACGUAGGCGGAUCGUUAAGUCGGGGGUGAAAUCCUGGAGCUCAACUCCAGAACUGCCUUCGAUACUGGCGAUCUUGGAGUCCGGGAGAGGUGAGUGGAACUCCGAGUGUAGAGGUGAAAUUCGUAGAUAUUCGGAAGAACACCAGUGGCGAAGGCGGCUCACUGGCCCGGUACUGACGCUGAGGUGCGAAAGCGUGGGGAGCAAACAGG
rnacentral:rRNA from 1 species